AGCAGUAGCCGCGGUAAUACGUAGGUGGCAAGCGUUGUCCGGAAUUAUUGGGCGUAAAGGGCUCGCAGGCGGUUUCUUAAGUCUGAUGUGAAAGCCCCCGGCUCAACCGGGGAGGGUCAUUGGAAACUGGGAAACUUGAGUGCAGAAGAGGAGAGUGGAAUUCCACGUGUAGCGGUGAAAUGCGUAGAGAUGUGGAGGAACACCAGUGGCGAAGGCGACUCUCUGGUCUGUAACUGACGCUGGGGAGCGAAAGCGUGGGGAGCGAACAGGAUUAGAUACCCCCGUAGUCCCUGUCUCUUAUAC
rnacentral:rRNA from 1 species